UAACCCUUCGUUUGACGCUUCGUUAGUGGUUAUGUGUACAUAUAAUAUGGCGAAUACCCGACGCUCCGCUGACGACCGCUGCCGCAGAGCAGCCAUUUUCUUUACUUGUGCGUUCUGUUUAUGUAUGUAUGUAGAAAUACCUAUGUAUCCGUUAUGCCUGCGUUGACGUCAGUAAAUAAGACGAUUGCGCAUUUUGAGUAUCGGAUAUAAAAAGAGCCAGAGGUACAAAAUUUCAUAAAAUUUCCGAUAGAGUCGACGAUGGAGUUGGAGCAUUUCAACUCUAUUAUAACUCCAGAGCUUACCGAUUUUUAUAUCAACAAAAUAAGGAGCUUAUUGGGGACGAGCUCAUCGAUGGCAUCCAGUUUAAAACAUGUGCUGGAUGAUAAGCUAAUUUUCGAUUACAACGUGGACGGUACGUCGGGGAAGAGUUCUUUGAAAAAUUUUAAAUCAUUUUAAAUGUCCUGGAAUCGGCGGUGAACAUGAAAAUACACAACGAGCCAGCAGAUAAAGUAAUAAGGAAGGCUAUUCAUAAUAUUAAGAAUAGCUAUUUUCAAAAGGGCGCAAGGGAUACAAAAUACAAAGUAUCCGUAGACAAUAAUGAAUAAUAAUUUUUAAUAAAUAAAAAUAGUUGGAAAAAUAAACAAUUGAAUGUAUUACUUUUUAUAUCUAAAGACACUAAGUUGUUAUUGUGGGCUCAAUCGAAAACCCGAAACACAUAACAUAAGCGAAGAGACAAAAAGUG